GUCUCUCCCGUCAGGAGGAGUGGUCUUGUUGGAGGAAUAAAUAUCAUUAUUUGGAUAUAGCAUCAGUGUACUUGAGGGGAGGGUGACUAUUGUUCCAAUGCAUGUGGCAAGUUCUGCGAUCUCAAGCCACAUAUCAGUGUCAGCAAAUCUCUUACAGAGGGUGACAAAGGAAAAAAACAUAAUUAUCUUACGUUGCGUUGAAAACUACAAAGUACAAACAAAGUUAGGAGAUCUCGCCUUGUUGUAGCAUUGCUGUAGCCCUUCGGUUGUUGUUUAAAGACCGAUUUCAUCAGGAAAUGCAUCAAAUUAAUGAGUUUGAUUUGUCCGACAUAAUAACGUCUUUAAUUUGUCUUCCAUGUUUUCUGGU
rnacentral:lncRNA from 1 species